AAAUUUGGAAGUUAUGUACUCCUUACGAUACAUAUUAAGUGUCGCUGAUUUAUUACAACAACUUUGUACUAAAUCAGCGACACUUAUUAGGCAUGUUCAAUUUAAUCUUCAGUUUCCAAUAUUCCUGAAUUAAUUAUCAAGAGUUGCAUAACAUGGUUUUUCUGUGGAUAACAUUAUGGUGAUUAUUUAUUUCUCCCAGAUAUUUGCUCUGCAUGUUACUGGAUCACUUAAUACUGUCCUAUCAACAGAACAUCGACACGAGAUUUGUCGCUAUAUUUACAACCAUCAGCCAUGCCGAUCAAUUCCAGUUACCUUCUGUUAAAUGCUGAUUGCUAUUUGAUGGUACAGAGAAACAUGACAAUUUGUAUGUAAUGUUAUCCAUGUAGAAUGAAGAUGGUGGUUGGGGCACGCAAGUGUUGGGGCCUAGCACCAUGUUUGGAUCAUGCUUAAACUAUGUUACCUUGAGGCUUCUUCACCAGGUUGACAAUGAUGCCUUGACAAGGGGCCGUGCUUGGAUAAUAUCACGUGGAAGUGCAGCUGCAAUACCACAGUGGGGUAAGAUAUCUGCUAUCAUUGAUGAUGUGUAAACAGGAAAGUUUUGCACUCAAAUGAUAUUGCUUGUAAUUUCCACAAAAUAUAUUCCUUGAACUUUAGCUAGCAUAUUUAUUUUUCUUAAUGUGUGUAGUGGUGGGUUAAUUUGCAUAUGCACAUUACUGUGUACAGCUUCUCGGCUUCUCCUAUGUCAUUUGGAAGGCAUGUCCAUUUUGAAGUCCACAUGCUCUGAUACAUGGUGAAAAAAUAUAUAUGGAGCUAGGCCAAAAUUCUUAUAUUGCUGUGUUUUAUACUGCAUUCCACAUGCUCUCGUUCCUGACGAGAAUAUAUAUGGAGCUAGGCCAAGAUUCAGGUACAUGCUGUCUAGGUACUGCUCUCAUUCCACAUGCUGUCUAGGUACUGAGUUUAUAGCGCUAGAAGCAUUCUUGUUCUAGAUUUUGACUUGUAUUGUUCAUUUCUUUGUUUUUUACUGCCUUCGUAGCUGAAGGAUUACCGAGACUGUUUGGACUGAAGUCUGAAUAUGUACCAUUUCUUUCGUCUGAGAGAAAUAACAUAUUGAUUAAUUGGCUAAACCUUGAGAUAGGAGAUUUCCAACGAGGAAAAUUGAAGUAUUUUUGGUGUUAUCACUGAUCUGCAAAGACGGUGCCAACUCUAUGACAAUAAGGUGCUCCGUCUGCUAAUGGAGUAUUAUAUAACAAUCAAACUUGGUUUUGGUUGUUGCUCCUAUGGAUAAACAAAUGAAUAGUGUUUAUUUGCGUUUAAGGCAAUUACCGAAUGGGAAGUAGAUGUAUGUUGUUCGUGCAUAGGCUUGUGAUUCAAUGUCUCACAGUUUGGGUAGAUCAAUUAUUUUCUCUUGUUCAUUGUAUGUUUGAUUGAAGUUACUUAAGUUGCUUCAUGGUUUAUGGAUAAGAAAUGAUUUGCAAAAAAUUUAACUUGUUGAGUGAAUUUGGACCAUAUGCUGAAGAACCAUUUCAAAGAAAUACCCAUGCUGUUAUGAACAGGUUCUAAAAACAGCCGUGGUGAAAAGUGUAGUUACAUAGGUAGCUUUCCACUAUUUAUAGUUUUCUUGGUUAUAAUCCAUUCUCAAAUUAAGUUUCUGUAACUGAAUAUGUUCAUUUGCAGUCACUGAGGGUGUAUGACUGCAAGUUGCACAUUGGUCCUUGCACUACAAGGGGGAUGUAUGCCAUUACUCCAGGCUGGGAUUGUCGCAUGAAAGUAAGUCUUAUUCCCUUGUCACUCCUCUUGUGCUAGGUCAUUCUUGUGGUGGCGCUGGACCGGAGGUGGAGGAGCAGCGAGGGACGACGCUGGGCCGGAGGAGGAGGAGAAGCGAGGGCGGAGCUAGGCCGCAGGUGGAGGAGCAGCGAGCGGCUCUUGGGGUGGCGUUGGGUGAAGGAGGUGUUGGGCACAGGCCGACCAGUGCUGGCCGCCCUCCCUCGGCCAUGCCCUCGCCCAUCGCUGUCCUGGUCGCCUCUUCCCCAACCCUAUUCUAUAAGCAGAGCAAGUUCCCCCCCAAGCAGCUUGCUUUACUCAUCAAAAAACAAGUACUCAAAUUGAUUUUAGAUCAAGCUUGAGCAGUUUGUCCCCAAAUUAAAAAUUUACUGUUGAAAUGUAGUCAAGCCAGACCUUUUGUGAUUCCAAAGGAGUAGUCUGUUGUGGGUCAAAAUAAUUGGUAUUUUUGCUUUGAUCAGUUUCAUUGCAGUCAAAAUAAUUGAUAUUUUUUUGGUGGUAAUAUGGAUGCACUUGCUGUUGCUGGUAUUGCCUAAUAAUACGACUAAUCAUGCACAUGUCAUGUUCAUCUGAUAUUAUGUCUUUCAUUUAUAUAUCUUUGAUUUGACCCUCCAUCUUUCAACAACUUUCUUAUGGAAUACUAAACCAAACUCAGUUUACUUUGAUGCUAAUAUAUUUAGCUCUUUGUUCCAUUGCAGGAGAUUAUCAGCUCACUUUUUGUUUACAGGAAAAUUUAUUGAGACUCAAGAUUCAACACAAACUGAAGGCUCCGAGAUUUAUGAAGCAUAUGUCUAAUAAAUGAACCAAUAUUUUUUUGUUUAUGCUUUUUGGUGCUUAGUUCCUACUUAGUAAUUCCUUAUGACUUAGGAACAUUUUGAGAGAACUGAGUUGCUGAAUACUAAGGUAUAUAGUCGUUUCCCCCACUCCUGUUCCUAUGUAUUUUUGUUCAUCCUAUAAAUUGUGGUAAAGCAUAGCUUUUCCACUCUCAAGUAGGUCCCAUGAUGUCAUAAAGAACGUAUGUCCUACUUUUCUAAUGUCCACCUAAUUUGAAUUGGCAAGAAAAAGUACCGCCUUUUUUAUUUUUAGAGGAUAAAGAAAUGGUUGUGGCUGUUUAUUAAUCUCCAGAGAAGCAUAAUGGUGCAGUUCAUUUUAAUAUACACUUGCACACCGAGUUGCAGCCUCUGUUCGGUUACCCCGUGCUGAUGUCCAGUUCAGUCCACCUCACCGUUUAGUUGAGCUUCAGCUAAAGAAUUUGUCACAUGAACCUGCACCAAUACGAUGGUAGAUUGGCGCGUUCUCCCUUGCCAUCAUCAUCUCUAGCUAAGUUUUGGUGUUUGCUCAUAUUCAGGUUCUCUAUUUAUGCUAUACUUAUUUGAAAUUUAUUCGAUUCAUUUCGUUUAUUACCUGAACUCUGUUUGUGCUGAUACUAAUCCAAGUAAGUGUGUUAUCAUCUUUCAUAUUUUAGUUUUUCCUUUAUUGUAAACUUGCUACCGCCUUAUCAAUGCAGCAGCGGAUUUUCCGCUCUCAUAAUGUGAUGUGCUCAUAAUCCUUCAUGACGUAUUAACCACGAUUUCUUCUAGAAAACUUCAUCUUCGUAGUUAUUGUUUAAUCCAUAGUUUUCUUUAUAUUUCUUGUUCAGUACCUGUAACUUCUUUCCAAGACUUUGUCUCACUGAAUUGCAGGUUAGGUUUAUUAAUUUCUGCUAUUACAUGUUUAAGUUCUGAACUCUUCUAACUUUUUUCCAUGAAGGGGAAAGUCCGCUGCUCUACCAAGUUGUACCAACUGAUGUGAAGAUGUGAUAGAGUUUGGAACAUAUUAUUUACUUAUUAUGGCAGCAAAGGCCAAGCUCCAAUGCCACAUGGAGGUGCAAACGGAAGCUGCAAUACCAGGGUGGUGGAGGCACCUGAGGGGGGCAAAUUCAUCGUGAGCGUUGAUUCGUCAUGCGACCAAUGGGACCUUGUACGUGCGGGGGCUGCCGGUCGGAGGCAGUCACACAGGCUCGUUCGCAUCACCCUCCUUCUGUGAGGCAGUGAAAACCUAGAUCGAGGCAGCUCCCCAAUCCCCGCCUCCUCUCCUGUACUCCAAUCAUUCAUCUCCUUCCUCCUCCAAUCCGCGCCGCAUCAUGUCCUCCCAAACAGGGCGUGGCCGACGUGAGCGAGGACGGAGCGAGGGUG